AGAUUGAACGCUGGCGGCAUGCCUUACACAUGCAAGUCGAACGGCAGCACGGGAGCAAUCCUGGUGGCGAGUGGCGAACGGGUGAGUAAUAUAUCGGAACGUGCCCAGUCGUGGGGGAUAACGCAGCGAAAGCUGUGCUAAUACCGCAUACGAUCUCUGGAUGAAAGCGGGGGACUCGCAAGGGCCUCGCGCGAUUGGAGCGGCCGAUAUCAGAUUAGGUAGUUGGUGGGGUAAAGGCCCACCAAGCCGACGAUCUGUAGCUGGUCUGAGAGGACGACCAGCCACACUGGAACUGAGACACGGUCCAGACUCCGUACGGGAGCAGCAGUGGGGAAUUUUGGACAAGUGGGCGCAAGCCUGACU
rnacentral:rRNA from 1 species